CAUAGCAGCCAAGAUGAUGUCCGCAGCAGCCAUUGCCAACGGGGGUGGUGUUUCUGCGGGGAGCCUGGUGGCUACUCUGCAGUCCGUGGGGCAGCUGGACUCUCCACAUCAUCCAACAUCCUCCUGGCCUCUGUUGGGUCAGUGUUGGGGGCCUGCUUGGGGAAUUCACCUUCUUCUUCUCUCCCAGCUGAACCCGAGGCUAAAGAAGAUGAGGCAAGAGAAAAUGUACCCCAAGGUGAACCUCCAAAACCCCCACUCAAGUCAGAGAAACAUGAGGAAUAAAGGUCACAUGCAGAUGCAUCUCCCUGU
rnacentral:lncRNA from 1 species